rnacentral:rRNA from 1 species
CAAGGCUUAAAUGGGAAUUGACAGGUUUAGAAAUAGACUUUUGUUCGCACAAUUUCCAAGGUGCCGCAUGGUUGUUGUCAGCUCGUGCCGUGAGGUGUUAGGAAAAGUCGUGCAAAGAGCGCACCCCCUCUCACUAGUUGCCCUCAUUCAGUUGGGGACUCUAGUGAGACUGCCUACGCAAGUAGAGAGGAAGGUGGGGAUGACGUCAAGUCAUCACGGCCCUUACGCCUUGGGCCACACACGUAAUACAAUGGCCGGUACAGAGGGCAGCCACCUAGCGAUAGGAUGCGAAUCUCGAAAGCCGGUUUCAGUUCGGGAUGGAGUUUGCAACUUGACUUUAUGAAGCUGGAAUUGGUAGUAAUUGCGCAUCAGCCAUGGCGCGGUGAAUACGUU